AGGGCACAACAGGAACUCUACGGAAGGCAGCAGUGGGGAAUAUUGCACAAUGGGCGCAAGCCUGAUGCAGCCAUGCCGCGUGUAUGAAAAAGGCUUCGGGUUGUAAAGUACUUCAGCGGGAGGAAGUGUUGUGUGUAUAUGCAAGCACAAUUGUCGUUCAUGCAAGAGAC
rnacentral:rRNA from 1 species